rnacentral:lncRNA from 1 species
CUGGGGAAUCCCAUCUUAGUCACUGUUUGCCUGACCUCUGACAAACCCCUUAUGGGCCAUGAGGCUUCCCAGGGGGCUACUUCUGAUGUUUGAAAAAGUCUCUGGGUCUACUUCUGGCCCAGGAACUCCUGAUGAAAACUAAUUAACACUCAGUAUUUAGGGUAGGAGCUAGGCACACUGUCCCAGGAGCUAGAAAAUAAAAUAGGAAGUGAUCUUGCCUUAUGCACCCCCAUCAGAUACACACACAACCCUCUAUAGGAAAUUUGGCCCUUGUUUUCAUUCUCAGAAAUAUGGUGACAUCUCUCCAAUUGGGCUGGCUUUGUUAGCAUCAUUUCUGUGAGCUCCGUUUCUCCCUUACUCAGUAGGUCUGCCUCUUCUCUGGGCCUCUGCAUGAAAGGAAACUUCAGUCCCCUCAGAUAGCAUGGAGGUGAUGUCCCCUGAGCUCAUUGUCACAGGCCUCUGACAUCCCAAAUAAGAGCAUCAUGUCUCUCAACCCGGAUGAGAGAGCUAAGAGAUUUAAAUUCAUCAGAUGAGCCCCCAUGGACCUUACCUACAGUAAAGUUUUUCAUUCCUCAUACACACUCCUUCAGUCUAUCUCCAGAAGGUUCCCCUUGCUCUGUGGAGUCAGACUUGCCCAAACAGGCUGAGAACCCGGGGUGCUGCGGGGAGCAGGCUCCGUUUCUCUCAGCAUGUGAUGCUAACAUGUCCUGCUUCCGUCAAGAAAGACAACACUUCCCGAGAGCCCAAGGCUCCACCAUCCCUGCCAGAUCCCCCAACUCUACCUCCCCAGACACAAAAUCACCCAAGACACUUGGGGCCCUAACCCACCCCUCAAUAGCCACAGCCCCUUUGAGUCCCAGGCUGGUUUGAAAGAGUACAAAUACCUGUCUGCACCGAGGUCACGAGGGUGAUUCUCCUGGCCGAGUGAAGUCUCCUGCCCUCAGCACCGGACCCUUCUUCUCAGAGAGAAAAGUCUCCAGGGUAUGAGAAAGCCCCAGAUGAGAUCAUUUUCUCCAUUCUCCCUCUACUUUUACCCCCUCCUACACCGUCAUGUGGGCAGGAGAAGAGGUUUCUGAUGCCAAUCUUGCUUGGAGGAUCUUGGCAGGGCCUCACCGUGCCCUCGAGACUCCCCUGGAAGUGUGGGCCUGCCCAGUGGAGGAGGCGUACUUCCUUCUUCCCUUUCUAUCCUGCUCCUUGCUUGGGGUGGGGGAGAACUCUAACGAGUCCCAGGCCCUGAGGCCCCUAGACCAUAGCACAAUGUUCUCUCUCCAUUACCCUGGGACAAAGGACAGGACAGCAGUGUCCAGGCUCAGACCCCUCAGGCUGGAGAAAAGGAUGUCAGGUCCUAAAGUGAAUGGGGCUGAGGCGUAUUCCACACCCAGUCUCCAUACCCGCCCUGCUCCUAGCUCUCAAGUGGGGCUGAGGGGCUGGGUCCCCUAGCACACGCUUGGCGCACGUGAUGCCAUUGUCUUUGCCAAGGAAAGUGGCUUCUUACUCAAAAUGAGGCUUUCAAAGCCUCCAGUGUGUGAUGACAGCGUGAGAAGUGGGUGCUCCUUGUGUACAGUCAUUUGAUUUCCUUAUCAAAAAAAGAAAAUUCCUUCUUUUUUUUUUUUUUUUUUGCCAAACUGAAAACUGUUAAAAAACAGUCAGAUCUAUCGGGGGGGAGGAUGCACAUUUGUAGAGUGUGGAGGGAAAAGGGCUUGUUGCAAAGAAUGUCCUGUUUCCAUCCACAUUCCCAGUGUUGACCAGAAAAUGUUGAAGAGCUCAGGGGCGACGUAGAAGGGGCUCUGCAUGAGGGAGAGGGGAGGACACGGAAGGCAGACUCAUCUCUAGGGGCUGGGUCAGCCUCAGAGGUCGCAGUUUUGUUCAUUUCCUUCUCAAACAUCGAUGGAUUACUAGCUCUGGUCUGAUGGCCUUCCUCGUGAAGCACACAUAGGUGUCCUGUAGGAAGUGAAUCUAAAUCCACAGCAGCUCCUCUUGUUAAGAUCCAGCUUAUCCUCUUCAUAAGCUCCGCUUAGUAAACAUGAGAGGAACAAAAGGGGAAAUUCCUCAAGGUCCAAGUGUAUAUCAUGACCUUCUCCCCCAGGACUGGCUGCUGUAAUACAACCAUACCGUCAUACACAUGGUACAGGAACAAACAUUCCAUCCAGAUAAGCAACAUUCCAUUCUCAUCCACAGCCCAACCUCCUGGAUGUGGAAAUUGCAGUGGCCAGCCUAGCUCAAGCUACAAAACUCUAAAAUCGUAAGAGGACUCUGCCCCGCAGCAUCCUGAAUCAAUGCGCGCCUUUCGCGCUUUCAAAACCUGUGAAAAGGCAACCCUGCCCUCGCAGAGAUGUUUUUCUAAGCGCCCCCCUCCCCCCACUGGGGAAAAAGGUGAAGCCUAGUCUUACUUCCUGCAGUAGCAACCUAAGCCUCUUUCUCACCCAUCCUUAGCUAUUUUAAAAGUUUCAUUUCUUCCUUGAAACACUGCAUCUUACGCUAUUGGCCAAAUAUCAAAAGACAAGGGCACUGCCUUGAUCUGCCUGCAGCUUUAUUCCUCUACCCGCCUGGUUCUGUCUGCCUUACUUGACUCUCCUGGGCACCAUCUGCUUCUUCCCCUCCUCCUGGGAAGGAGCUGUGCCUUCUUACUCCCUGUACCUUUCCUCACAGUGGCUAGCAGGACAAGGCUGAUAUGUGCUGGAGCCAAAGGUCAGGAGUCUAUUAAUGGCAGCUCCUGAGGGCAGCAGACGGACACUGUAGGAGUUCCCCUGCACACAGCCAACACUUGGUGUCAAGGGCUAAGAAUAGACCAAAUCAGAAAUGAGCAGGCAGGACCUCAGGGGCUCCUGCCCUGGUUUGCCCCAUCCCAUGCUGAACAAUAUACAAGCUCCGGUAGGAGAAGCCUGCCCUUGCCAGUCACUAAUGUGAAUCCCAAGACCCCACACCAAACACUGAAGUCAGUCAGCUCGCUUAUGCUCAUCCAGGAGGGACUACUCCUAAAAUUCAUCCUCAAACCAAGGAGGACAAAGGAAUGAUUUCCUCUGGGUGUAGUGCCAAGUGGUAACACAGUGACCAUCCCUCUAGAAGCAGCCUUCGGCCGUUUGACGUGGUGGGUACAGACAACUGGUCACCUAGGAGAUGCACUCCCUUGGUCAGUUUCUCCAGCAUCAACAACAUCCUGGGGUCCUCAGACUAGAGUGGGGCUGGGAGAUUUGUUUUGGCUGUAGGCCUCCCAGAAGCUCAUCUUUAGACCCAGAAAGAUCAGGAAGUAUCACAGGCUGAUUCAGGGUCCCCACUGUGAUCAUGGAUAACUCACUUCACCUCUUGGUGCCUUGGUUUCUCCAUCUGUAAAGUGGAGAGAAAGAAGGCCAGCUUCUUUCCCUCCUGCUCAGGGAUGCUGUGAGGACUCAGUCAUUAUUGCCUGUAGUGAAGGCAUCAUCUAAGGACUAGUGGUGGCCUUGGGAAGUGGAACCCCAGGAAGACAGUGUGUCUUCCGGGUGCCGGGGGGCCUGGAGGCCCCCAGGAUGCACAGUAUGGUGGGACGGGGAGAAGGCUCACAUAACUGUAGUUCUUACUUCACAGCACUGUGAACUCAGCACAAUGGGACCCCGGUCAGGUGACGAGGGGUCACAUGGCUCAGGCUGGCCACUCAUAAUUCCAAAACCAAAUGUCCUGAUGUUAAUUUUUUCUAAACUUUUGGAGAAUAUAUAGAAGGAUCAAUUUGAAAACUGAUAUUCAUUGAGCUUUGGGCAGACAAGAGAGUGGGUGAAUGGGGAGCAUCUGGAGAUUGUUUUUAAGGUGGUCGAAAGCUCUUUAGGAACUGUCUCUCUCUUGUGUUCUUCCCUACAACAAUCUUUUUCAACCUCUGAGGCUCAUCUCAUCAAAUGGACUGGCCUUCUCUUUGCUUCUCUGCAGAAUACAGAAACAAAACUUUUGUGUUUUUUUGAAAAAAAAAAAAUCC